AGACACCUCUCACAGUUUCUAAGGUUGCGUAGGGUAUCUAGCCAGGUACUUUCCCCUGUUUCUCACUGCAUUCUCUCCUCUCCCUUUCCCUCGUUUCCUUCUCCUGUCUCCUUCCUUCCUAGAUCCAGGUCAGUGGAGGGCGAUCCGGCGAGCGGCGGUGAGCUCCGCGCGCUCCAUCCGCGGGAGCGGCUGCCCGGUGAGCAUCUUGACGCGGGAGGCCGCAGGUGCAGCAGCGCGGCGGGCCAAGUGAGCACCGCGAUGCGCGGUGGGCGGUGGCUGUCACCGGCCGGGGCUCGCGGUCCAGGCGAGGCUGGGUGACGGCAAGAGCUCGCGCGCGGCCCGGACGCCCGGUGAGCUGCGUCUACCGGUGCCCGUGCCCUCGAGAGGAGGCGUCCUGCGCGGCAGCAGGCAGUGGAGGAUGUUCUCUAGCACAUCUCAGGAAUUUUAGGAGUUCCUAAGGAACCAAACACUCCAUUACAAUCAAUUUACAAUCAAUUGAUUUUUUCCUCCAUUACAAUCAAUUUACAAUCAAUUGAUUUUUGGUGAUUUUAUGUCACGGAGCUGAGUGGUAGGCAACAAGAUAAACUUUAAAUGGAAUGCAAUUGGUGAUCACCAGGCAUAAAGAAGAGGAAGAUCCUGGAUGGGAGUAUGGAAUAUGUGAAGGGAUGAUAUUACUGUAGAAUGGUUCUUAAUCAAGGGAAAAGAAGGGCUACAUGCGUUGUACCUGACAACUUAUGAAUGGGCAAUUGUUUAAUGUAAACAGUACAUAAUUUGUCUCAAUUAAAUUUUUUUUUUUGCAACA